UAAGAAGAUCCGGCCCGUCCAGGAGAGGGUCACGUGACUGCGAGAGAGCGCUCGGAAGGAGCUCGGCGGAGGAAUCAACAAGGCGGGGAAGGGGGCGGGGCCUGAGGGGGCUCGGCGCCGGACACGCCCACCACGUUGCCACGGCGACGCGGCCUAGCUCGCGUAGAGAAGCCUGCCCGCUCGCCCGCCUGGAAGCCCAGAAGAAGAAGCCUGGGCGGGGGCCGAGACUCCAUGUGAGGCUGAGCUUGCCAAGCGGCAUCUCUCUGUGCUAAAACACGCCGGGAACGUUGUUGACGUUAAUCCGAGAUAACAGCUCUGGGCCGGGCUGCCUUUGAAGGGAUCCCGGUCCGCCUUUGCAGCGCUCGCCGCUCCUUCUUUGCCUUUGCUUCUCCGUCUCCCCUUGAAGUCUCACCUGCGGAGGGUCAGCGCCAGGCAGCGGGAACAUGCUUUCCUUGAUGUGAGCGUUGCAAUUAAUUUCCAUUCCGCUCCCUCCUUCCCUCCGCUGCCGGCAUAUGUUUAUUUCAUCUUCCCUGGGGCUUCCCUGGGAGAAGAUGAAAUAAAGAGGGGAGAAAGAAGGAGACUUAAAUGAGCAACAAGCAAACAUGGCUUCGCUUUGAGUUAAUUAUCGUCACCGUAACACCGCCGCCGCGGCCGGGGAGAGAGGGGCAAGGAGACCCCUUGGAAAAGGCAUCAAAGAUGCAGACCCCCCUCUCCGUUCCAUGGGAUCCUCAUUAACCUCGUUUCCUCUCACCAGGCUUCGGCCUUUAAUGAUUUAUUGAUUGGGCUUAUCGGGCCAGCAUCUGCGCAGGGCAACGGGACACUGUGGAGACCGACACUGCGGAGACCGACGAGACCUUCUCUUUUGCAAAGGAAGGAAGGCAUUAAGCAUCAAGGCCUGCACAUCGAGACCUUUGGCUGCAUUGCUUGAUUCUGGGUGGCCGUGGAGCAUGGCGACCGUCUCCUGUUGCAGUCCAGGCAGCGAGAGCACUGAAAACCAACACAGAGUCCAAUAACCUUCUAAUAUCUUUAUUAAAGCAAAUAAUAAUCCAAAAAUGAAAUGGUGGGAAAGUUGAGCAAGCAAUAGCCCUUUAAGAAAAGGUAUAAGAUAGUCUUCAAACAUAGGCCAUUUGGACUGAGGCUGAGAAUUGCUCCGGCAUUCACAGCCAUUGAGAAAGAGGGACCUGGAAAAGCUUCUCAGCUGCAGAGCUCCUUGGACUUAAGACAACCAAAGACUGUAAUGUAUAUUUUCCCUGCAUCUACUUUGCCAGAGGACUCACAGUUUGGGCCUGAUAUUCAGCCAGACUUUGGGCCCAAAAUGCAGCCAGAGUCUGUUCCAGUGGAUUCUGGGACCACAGACAGAAUGGUUGCAAGCAGGCAUUCAGAACCACAUUCCUCUCCACAGUCAAGCUGCAAGAUGGACAUUCUAGUUUAGAGGAGGAUAAUGUGUUUGACAGGAUGGAGGCGAUCUCUCAUGGAAGAAGGGAGCGGGAAUGUUUACGAAGGAGUAAACGACUGCUUUUGAAGCUCGCUAAUGAGUAGUUUUCUCAUAAGAGAAAUAGUCUUCCCAGGGAAGAGAGACCUUGGGUUUUCCUUUUGAAGCGCGCUAAUGUGUAGUUUUCUCAUGAGAGAAAUAGUCUUCCCAUGGAAGAGAGACCUUGGGUUUUCCUUUUGAAGCGCACUAAUGCAUAGUUUUCUCAUGAGAGAAAUAGUCUUCCCAUGGAAGAGAGACCUUGGGUUUUCCUUUUGAAGCGCGCUAAUGCAUAGUUUUCUCAUGAGAGAAAUAGUCUUCCCAUGGAAGAGAGACCUUGGGUUUUCCUUUUGAAGCGCGCUAAUGCGUAGUUUUCUCAUGAGAGAAAUAGUCUUCCCAUGGAAGAGAGACCUUGGGUUUUCCUUUUGAAGCACGCUAAUGCGUAGUUUUCUCAUGAGAGAAAUAGUCUUCCCAUGGAAGAGAGACCUUGGGUUUUCCUUUUGAAGCGCGCUAAUGCGUAGUUUUCUCAUGAGAGAAAUAGUCUUCCCAUGGAAGAGAGACCUUGGGUUUUCCUUUUGAAGCGCGCUAAUGCGUAGUUUUCUCAUGAGAGAAAUAGUCUUCCCAUGGAAGAGAGACCUUGGGUUUUCCUUUUGAAGCGCGCUAAUGCAUAGUUUUCUCAUGAGAGAAAUAGUCUUCCCAUGGAAGAGAGACCUUGGGUUUUCCUUUUGAAGCGCGCUAAUGCAUAGUUUUCUCAUGAGAGAAAUAGUCUUCCCAUGGAAGAGAGACCUUGGGUUUUCCUUUUGAAGCGCGCUAAUGCGUAGUUUUCUCAUGAGAGAAAUAGUCUUCCCAUGGAAGAGAGACCUUGGGUUUUCCUUUUGAAGCGCGCUAAUGCAUAGUUUUCUCAUGAGAGAAAUAGUCUUCCCAUGGAAGAGAGACCUUGGGUUUUCCUUUUGAAGCGCGCUAAUGCGUAGUUUUCUCAUGAGAGAAAUAGUCUUCCCAUGGAAGAGAGACCUUGGGUUUUCCUUUUGAAGCGCGCUAAUGCGUAGUUUUCUCAUGAGAGAAAUAGUCUUCCCAUGGAAGAGAGACCUUGGGUUUUCCUUUUGAAGCGCGCUAAUGUGUAGUUUUCUCAUGAGAGAAAUAGUCUUCCCAUGGAAGAGAGACCUUGGGUUUUCCUUUUGAAGCGCACUAAUGCAUAGUUUUCUCAUGAGAGAAAUAGUCUUCCCAUGGAAGAGAGACCUUGGGUUUUCCUUUUGAAGCGCGCUAAUGCGUAGUUUUCUCAUGAGAGAAAUAGUCUUCCCAUGGAAGAGAGACCUUGGGUUUUCCUUUUGAAGCGCGCUAAUGCAUAGUUUUCUCAUGAGAGAAAUAGUCUUCCCAUGGAAGAGAGACCUUGGGUUUUCCUUUUGAAGCGCGCUAAUGCAUAGUUUUCUCAUGAGAGAAAUAGUCUUCCCAUGGAAGAGAGACCUUGGGUUUUCCUUUUGAAGCGCGCUAAUGCAUAGUUUUCUCAUGAGAGAAAUAGUCUUCCCAUGGAAGAGAGACCUUGGGUUUUCCUUUUGAAGCGCGCUAAUGCGUAGUUUUCUCAUGAGAGAAAUAGUCUUCCCAUGGAAGAGAGACCUUGGGUUUUCCUUUUGAAGCGCGCUAAUGCAUAGUUUUCUCAUGAGAGAAAUAGUCUUCCCAUGGAAGAGAGACCUUGGGUUUUCCUUUUGAAGCGCGCUAAUGCAUAGUUUUCUCAUGAGAGAAAUAGUCUUCCCAUGGAAGAGAGACCUUGGGUUUUCCUUUUGAAGCGCGCUAAUGCAUAGUUUUCUCAUGAGAGAAAUAGUCUUCCCAUGGAAGAGAGACCUUGGGUUUUCCUUUUGAAGCGCGCUAAUGCGUAGUUUUCUCAUGAGAGAAAUAGUCUUCCCAUGGAAGAGAGACCUUGGGUUUUCCUUUUGAAGCGCGCUAAUGCAUAGUUUUGUCAUGAGAGAAAUAGUCUUCCCAUGGAAGAGAGACCUUGGGUUUUCCUUUUGAAGCGCGCUAAUGUGUAGUUUUCUCAUGAGAGAAAUAGUCUUCCCAUGGAAGAGAGACCUUGGGUUUUCCUUUUGAAGCGCGCUAAUGCAUAGUUUUCUCAUGAGAGAAAUAGUCUUCCGAUGGAAGAGAGACCUUGGGUUUUCCUUUUGAAGCGCGCUAAUGCGUAGUUUUCUCAUGAGAGAAAUAGUCUUCCCAUGGAAGAGAGACCUUGGGUUUUCCUUUUGAAGCGCGCUAAUGCAUAGUUUUGUCAUGAGAGAAAUAGUCUUCCCAUGGAAGAGAGAUCUUGGGUUUUCCUUUUGAAGCGCGCUAAUGCGUAGUUUUCUCAUGAGAGAAAUAGUCUUCCCAUGGAAGAGAGACCUUGGGUUUUCCUUUUGAAGCGCGCUAAUGCAUAGUUUUGUCAUGAGAGAAAUAGUCUUCCCAUGGAAGAGAGACCUUGGGUUUUCCUUUUGAAGCGCGCUAAUGCGUAGUUUUCUCAUGAGAGAAAUAGUCUUCCCAUGGAAGAGAGACCUUGGGUUUUCCUUAAAUGCCUGGUCCUUUCUCUGCACAGCAGAGGUGUCAACUUUGCAAUUCAAGAGAGAAAAGAUCUUUGCUCUGUGUUCUUCACCCUGAUUGAAUCUGACACUAAUGGCACUUUUUUGGCCCAGUUCUUUUCUUAGAGCCGACCCAGGAUUUUAUCAUAGUAUAUUUAUUGUAUCUUGACCUAUGACUUGUUUUAUUGUUGAUUGAUUGUUUUAUUGUUAUGUUUUUAUAUUGUUUGUGACCUGGGCUUGGCCCCAUGUAAGCUGCCUCGGGGUAUAAAAAUAAAAUUAUUAUUAUUACUAUA